rnacentral:rRNA from 1 species
UUGAACGCUGGCGGUAUGCUUAACACAUGCAAGUCGAACGGAAACGAUACUAGCUUGCUAGUAGGCGUCGAGUGGCGGACGGGUGAGUAACGCGUAGGAAUCUACCUGAUAGUGGGGGAUAGCCCGAAGAAAUUCGGAUUAAUACCGCAUAAUCUAUUCGUAGUAAAGUGGGGGACUUUCGAGCCUCACGCUAUCAGAUGAGCCUGCGUAAGAUUAGCUAGUUGGUAGGGUAAAAGCCUACCAAGGCGACGAUCUUUAGCUGGUCUGAGAGGAUGAUCAGCCACAUCGGGACUGAGACACGGCCCGAACUCCUACGGGAGGCAGCAGUGGGGAAUAUUGGACAAUGGGGGCAACCCUGAUCCAGCAAUACCGCGUGUGUGAAGAAGGCCUGAGGGUUGUAAAGCACUUUCAAUUGUGAAGAAAAGCUAGUGGUUAAUAGCCAUUAGCCUUGACGUUAACUUUAGAAGAAGCACCGGCUAACUCCGUGCCAGCAGCCGCGGUAAUACGGAGGGUGCAAGCGUUAAUCGGAAUUACUGGGCGUAAAGCGUGCGUAGGCGGUUUAUUAAGUCAGAUGUGAAAGCCCCGGGCUUAACCUGGGAACUGCAUUUGAAACUGGUCAACUAGAGUAUGGUAGAGGAAAGUGGAAUUUCUGGUGUAGCGGUGAAAUGCGUAGAUAUCAGAAAGGAACAUCAAUGGCGAAGGCAACUUUCUGGACCAAUACUGACGCUGAGGUACGAAAGCGUGGGUAGCAAACAGGAUUAGAUACCCUGGUAGUCCACGCCGUAAACGAUGAUAACUAGCCGUUGGGGGGAUUUACCCCUUAGUGGCGAAGCUAACGCGUUAAGUUAUCCGCCUGGGGAGUACGGCCGCAAGGUUAAAACUCAAAGGAAUUGACGGGGACCCGCACAAGCGGUGGAGCAUGUGGUUUAAUUCGAUGCAACGCGAAGAACCUUACCUGGUCUUGACAUCCUGAGAACUUUCUAGAAAUAGAUUGGUGCCUUCGGGAACUCAGUGACAGGUGCUGCAUGGCUGUCGUCAGCUCGUGUCGUGAGAUGUUGGGUUAAGUCCCGUAACGAGCGCAACCCCUAUCCUUAUUUGCCAGCACAUCAUGGUGGGAACUAUAAGGAGACUGCCGGUGAUAAACCGGAGGAAGGCGGGGACGACGUCAAGUCAUCAUGGCCCUUACGACCAGGGCUACACACGUGCUACAAUGGGAAGGACAAAGAGCCGCGAAGCCGCGAGGUGUAGCUAAUCUCAGAAACCUUUUCGUAGUCCGGAUUGGAGUCUGCAACUCGACUCCAUGAAGUCGGAAUCGCUAGUAAUCGUAGAUCAGAAUGCUACGGUGAAUACGUUCCCGGGUCUUGUACACACC